rnacentral:rRNA from 1 species
AACGAACGCUGGCGGCAGGCUUAACACAUGCAAGUCGAGCGCCCCGCAAGGGGAGCGGCAGACGGGUGAGUAACGCGUGGGAAUCUACCCAUCUCUACGGAAUAACGCAUGGAAACGUGUGCUAAUACCGUAUACGUCCUUCGGGAGAAAGAUUUAUCGGAGAUGGAUGAGCCCGCGUUGGAUUAGCUAGUUGGUGGGGUAAAGGCCUACCAAGGCGACGAUCCAUAGCUGGUCUGAGAGGAUGAUCAGCCACACUGGGACUGAGACACGGCCCAGACUCCUACGGGAGGCAGCAGUGGGGAAUAUUGGACAAGGGGCGCAAGCCUGAUCCGGCCAGGCCGCGUGAGUGAUGAAGGCCCUAGGGUUGUAAAGCUCUUUCACCGGUGAAGAUAAUGACGGUAACCGGAGAAGAAGCCCCGGCUAACUUCGUGCCAGCCGCCGCCGUAAGAC